rnacentral:rRNA from 1 species
CCUACGGGGAGCAGCAGUGGGGAAUAUUGGGCAAUGGGCGCAAGCCUGACCCAGCAACGCCGCGUGAAGGAAGAAGGCUUUCGGGUUGUAAACUUCUUUUAUCAGGGACGAAGCAAGUGACGGUACCUGAUGAAUAAGCCACGGCUAACUACGUGCCAGCAGCCGCGGUAAUACGUAGGUGGCAAGCGUUAUCAGGAUUUACUGGGUGUAAAGGGCGUGUAGGCGGGAGUGCAAGUCAGAUGUGAAAACUAUGGGCUCAACCCAUAGCCUGCAUUUGAAACUGUACUUCUUGAGUGCUGGAGAGGCAAUCGGAAUUCCGUGUGUAGCGGUGAAAUGCGUAGAUAUUAGGAGGAACACCAGUGGCGAAGGCGACUUUCUGGACUGUACCUGACGCUGAGGCGCGAAAGCGUGGGUAGCGAACGGGAUUAGAUACCCGAGUAGUC